AGAAGUGACAUAUGCAGCAUGACCAGUGGAAGCUUCGAAGAGCUAUUGCCAAUUUCCACCCUCUCUCUGGAAACUGUCAUUAGGGUUAGGGAAACUGUCAUGAGAUCUGCAUAUUUUAGAUAGAGGCUGCUUGCCUUAUUUGGGCACCUAAUGAAAAAGACAUGGAGGCCAGGUGCGGUGGCUCAUGUCUGUAAUCCCAGCACUUUGGGAGGCCAAGGCGAGUGGAUCACCUGAGGUCAGGAGUUCGAGACCAGCCUGACCAACAUGGCAAAACCCCGUCUGUACUAAAAGUGCAAACACAAAGGGAACUGCGUGGCUUGUUUCUACCUGAACAUUGUCAAGUGAUUUCAUCCUUUGAAACACAGUUGUGAAGUGUGUCCAGCAGUCUGAGAACAAGAAGAAGAAGAAAAUCUAAUCCUUCAGGGUGUCUGUGUGCCAGCCCUGCUCUCAGCACUUCCCAUGUGGAACUCCUUUACUUCUCCUAACAACUCCAUGACAUGGGUUAGACUGUGAUUGUUCCCAUAUUGUUGGUAGGGAAACUGAGGCAUGCAGGUGUUACAGAGCUCUCUCAAGUGGCAAGCUUUCUGGGUGGUUACAGAGUGGCAGAGCUGGGGUAUCCCAUGAUGUCACCACACUGCUAUAUGGAAAAGAACAUUAAUCGAGCACCUACGUGCUUGAUUCUCUUAAUUCUGUGACUGAACUCUCAAAACACCCUGGGUUGGUUUCCUUUUUACAACUGCCCAAGUCAUGAGUUCAUAGGGCCUGGAUGGCUGUACCGGAUUGCUCUCCAGCUGGUCUCUCUGCAUCCAGAAAUUUCUACAACCUACUGGGGUAAAAUCUUUCUCAACCCUGCUUUUCAUCAUCACAUCUUAAAUAUCUCGAGUUGGUUCCCUAUUGCCAAAAAAAAUCCAUUGUCCAUGUAGGGUUCUUCUGCCGAAACGAGGAAAGAGUGAGUUAAAUGUUGGUAGGUGAUAUAGAGAUAGUAAUUAGGCAAUAUAAUUCGAUGUUGUUGAAAGAGCUGAGCUAUGAAAUGCAUUGUGAUAAAGGGGCUGCCUGUGUAAGUAAAUGGGUAUAAUGAGGUGUAAAACUCCCUUUCUCUCUCUCUUUCUGCUUCAUAAGCCUUUCUGCUUCUCAAGUCCAGACCUGCUGUUUUUGGGGUUUCCUUCCAAUUUUUUUGCUGCUUCCCUGGGGCCUUGGCUCUUGGGCCUGCUGCCUCUUCCCACUCUACACCUUUGGAUUCCUUAUCUUUGGCUCCACCUUAUUGCUCCAUUCUCCAAAGACAAAUCCACAAGGCAUAGGAUUUUACAGAAUAUGGGGUUACAGAAACAGCAUAGGGAAGUGUAAAAGCCUAGAAGCUUCUUACAGACGCAGCCCCUUGUCUGUAGCUCCUGACUCCCACUUAAAUGUCUGUUGGAAGCACCCUGGGGUAGCAGAACCCAGCUCAGAAGAUGGGGCUUAUCCACCAUGCCUUUUCCUAACCUGACACCCACCCAGAUAAUCUUUUCAAUAUGCAAACUAGAGCGUAUCACCCCCUGCUCAGAGCCUUUCUGUGACCUCCCAUUUUGCUUCCCAGGACUCCUUGCUCCUUAGCCAGGUCUCCAGGUCCUCCGUGAUCAGGUCUCUGCUCUUCUGCAGCCUCAUCUCUGCCAUUCUUCACCUUUUGUGCUCCAACCCAAUCUGGUUUUCUUCUCAUGCUUUGAACACCCCAAGUCUGUCUGCUUCAGGAGCUUCGUACUGGCUAAUCAUUCACCACAGCAUACUCCCAUCUAUACGGCUGGCUCUUAUAUUAUGGGUCUCAGCUAAAAUGUCAUCCCUUCAAAGAGACCUUCUUGGACCACCCCCGCCAUUCUCUAUCCUAUUUCUCUCUUUUAUUUUCUUUGAAGCACUUACCCACUUUCAGAAACUAUCUGGCUUGCUCAUGUGUUUGUCUCUAGAUUGUCUACUUCCCCUCCUAGACUGUACUCUCCACAAGAGAGCAAAGCUGUGUCUGUUGCAUUCACUGUUGUCUUCCCAGAAGCAAGCAGCAUGCUGGAGACCCUCAAAUACAUGUGAAAUGAAGGGACACCUUGUGUUAUUUCACCUGUUUCCACCUGGUUCCCAAGUGGCAAGCUUGCAUUGAGGUUACAAAGUGGCAAAGCUGGGAUAUCACAUGAUGUCACCAUGAUGCUAUAUGAAAUGUAACAUUAAUUGAGUACCUAUGUGACCAGUUCUUUAAUUCUGUAAGUGAACUCUCAAAAAACCCUAGGUAAGUAUUAUCAACUCGAACUUUAACGGAUGAGGAAACUGGAAUUUUUUAAAAAAUGACUUAACCAAACAUCACAGAGCUGUAAACCAGGAUUUGAAUGGGUGAGCUGCACUCAGCCUUCAUCUCAAGUCAGUUUGCCUCUUUCUCCAAGAAGCCACAGUUGAUCCUGACCACAUCACAUAUGAGUUGCCUGGAUUGCAGUCAUUCAUUCACUAAGCAUCUUUUAGGAGGUCACAUGCCAGGCACCGUGUUAGGUAAUGAUUUCUCCAAGUCACAGGAGCCGUGGUUCUGACUUUAGAAAGUUUCUCAUCUGAUGGGAGGGCAGGCAAGUAAAUCAGUAAGGGUGGUCCCUGUCGGGACACUGGUUGAGAAAUACCCAGGAACACUCUGAUUGAGAAAUACCCAAAGUGCAAAGUGACAGGGACUAGAGGCAUCUCCACUGGACCAGAGAGCUCUGGAUUCGUCUUGAGCUAAGUCUCUGGAGGUAGGUGUCAGCUACAAGGAGAAAAGCUGUAUAUUUUGAGAUAUGGGAUGCAGGGCCUUUUAGUUCCAUAAAUAAGAGAACUAUGGUGUGAAUACCACAUGCCCUGGGCUGAACUAAGUGGGCUCUAGGGGAAGGUAUACUGGGCAGGGAGUUUGGAGAACUGGUUUCUGUCUAAUCCUUCUCUAACUCUGUGACCUUGAAUGCAUCAUUUCCCCUCUGAGUCUCAGAUUCUCUUUCUGGCUGGCAUUUAAUGAAACCUAAAUAUUCUAGACCUUCUACUUGUUCCAUAAGUGCUCAGUCCUACACUCACUCUCCUCUGGCACCAAUAUACUGAUUACUCAUUUUAUGCCCAGCAGAGCACUGCGUGUUUUGAAAUAUACAAAUAGUGGGAAACGAAAUCUUUGUUCUGGAUGCAGUUAUAAUUUGGAAAGCGAGGAAAUAAAUUAUAACAAGGGGAAAAAACAGACACAGAGGGAUUGAAAUGCAUAACAAUAGAGAUGAAACACGAAGAGUGAUAAAUGAAGAUUGAGUGUGCACACCUUCUGGAGGAGCCCUGAUUGAGUAUUUUAAAAUACUACUAAAGUCAUGCCGUGUGACUUCUGAAGCUAGCUCCUAAGAAGUCCUUGCAGCUUCUGCCUGCGACUCUUAGAACACUUGCUUUGAAGGAUGCCAGAUGCUGUCUUAAAAGUCUGAGCACUCUGAAACCAUCAUGCUGUGAGGAAGCCCAAGCUAACCACAUGGGCAAAAAAGAUGCCCUCUGACUGCCACCAUUUGAGACACUCUAAUUAAGAACUGCCUCAUUGAGCCCAUGAGGCCCUGUGAAUGAUAAUAAUAAAUUGUUUUUAACCAC
rnacentral:lncRNA from 1 species